rnacentral:rRNA from 1 species
UGAGAAAAACCGGCUACCACAUCUAAGGAAGGCAGCAGGCGCGCAAAUUACCCAAUCCUAAUACAGGGAGGUAGUGACAAGAAAUAACAAUACAGGACUUUUUGGUUUUGUAAUUGGAAUGAGUUAAGUAUAAACCCCUUUACAAGUAUCAAUUGGAGGGCAAGUCUGGUGCCAGCAGCCGCGGUAAUUCCAGCUCCAAUAGCGUAUAUUAAAGUUGUUGCAGUUAAAAAGCUCGUAGUUGGAUUUCUGUUAAUAAUUUAUAUAAAAUAUUUUGACGAAUAUUUAUAUAAUAUUAACAUAAUUCAUAUUACUAUUUUUUUUUUUAGUAUAUGAAAUUUUACUUUGAGAAAAUUAGAGUGCUUAAAGCAGGCAUAUGCCUUGAAUACUCCAGCAUGGAAUAAUAUUAAAGAUUUUUAUCUUUUUUAUUGGUUCUAAGAUAAGAAUAAUGAUUAUAGGGACAGUUGGGGGCAUUUGUAUUUAGUCAGA